rnacentral:rRNA from 1 species
UAGGGAAUAUUAGUAAUGGGCGAAAGCCUGAACUAGCAACGCCGCGUGUGCGAAGAAGGCCUUCGGGUUGUAAAGCACUUUUUGAGAGGAUGAGGAAGGACGGUACUCUCAGAAUAAGUCUCGGCUAACUACGUGCCAGCAGCCGCGGUAACACGUAGGAGGCGAACGUUAUCCGGAUUUACUGGGCGUAAAGCGCGUGUAGGUGGUUUGGUAAGUAGGGCGUGAAAGCUCCUGGCUCAACUGGGAGAGGCCGUUCUAAACUGCCGAACUAGAGGAUGGUAGAGGGAGGUGGAAUUCCGGGUGUAGCGGGGGAAUGCGCAGAUAUCCGGAGGAACACCAGUGGCGAAAGCGGACUCCUGGACCAUUCCUGACAC